UACGGAGGGGACUAGCGUUGUUCGGAAUUACUGGGCGUAAAGCGCACGUAGGCGGAUUUGUAAGUCAGGGGUGAAAUCCCGGGGCUCAACCUCGGAACUGCCUUUGAUACUGCAAAUCUCGAGUCCGGAAGAGGCGAGUGGAAUUCCUGGUGUAGCGGUGGAAUGCGCAGAUAUCAGGAGGAACACCAAUGGCGAAGGCAGCUCGCUGGGACGGUACUGACGCUGAGGUGCGAAAGCGUGGGGAGCAAACAGG
rnacentral:rRNA from 1 species